CCUAUACAUGCAGUCGAGCGAAUGGAUUAAGAGCUUGCUCUUAUGAAGUUAGCGGCGGACGGGUGAGUAACACGUGGGUAACCUGCCCAUAAGACUGGGAUAACUCCGGGAAACCGGGGCUAAUACCGGAUAACAUUUUGAACCGCAUGGUUCGAAAUUGAAAGGCGGCUUCGGCUGUCACUUAUGGAUGGACCCGCGUCGCAUUAGCUAGUUGGUGAGGUAACGGCUCACCAAGGCAACGAUGCGUAGCCGACCUGAGAGGGUGAUCGGCCACACUGGGACUGAGACACGGCCCAGACUCCUACGGGAGGCAGCAGUAGGGAAUCUUCCGCAAUGGACGAAAGUCUGACGGAGCAACGCCGCGUGAGUGAUGAAGGCUUUCGGGUCGUAAAACUCUGUUGUUAGGGAAGAACAAGUGCUAGUUGAAUAAGCUGGCACCUUGACGGUACCUAACCAGAAAGCCACGGCUAACUACGUGCCAGCAGCCGCGGGUAAUACGUAAGGUGGCAAGCGUUUAUCCGGAAAUUAUUGGGGCGUAAAAGCGCC
rnacentral:rRNA from 2 species